GUUAUAUAUCCGCCAUUUGUAGUACUAAAAAUGGUCUAGAAAGGUCAACUGAUUUUCAAGUAUAAAUACAGAGUUUAAACAGGGAUGUCAGAUAAUGGCUAAAAGGCCGAAAAGAGACGAACAGAUCCGUGACUUCGCUGAAUACUUUGAUGGCAAUAGCAGUGAUAUAGAAGAUCUAUCUGACAGUGAUGAUGAUGUGACUAAAGUUCUGAAAAAUGCAACUAGUGAUAGUGAUACUGAUAGUGACGAUGAACCAUUAGUAAACAUGAAACGUAAACGACGCGGUGGCAGUCAGAUAGCUAAUUCUGGUGAUGAUAAGGCUUGUUCAGAAGAUAAAGAUGAUGAUAUUCCUUUGGCCCAGUUAGUCUGUAACAUCACUGACACACCUGUUCAUGGUUCUGUGCGGACAUCAUGUGAAUAUCGGGCUCCUAACUGGUGAUAAAGAGGCCAUCCUAGAAAACUUACAAACGCCUUAUGCCUAUCUAAAACAAUCUUAAAUCUUAUUCGGUUGUUGCAUUACUCUAACAAUCUGGAUCAUGUUGACACUGGCACUCCAGACAAAAUAUGGAAAUUGCCACCAUGGUUCUAGUCGCAUGAAUAGACUGAACUGUUAUAUAAGUAUGGAUUUUAGAAACUGAUCCCCGCUCUAGUCGUAGUUUACUUUAGUUUAUUGUUAGAAAGUUUUAUUGUUGAUUUACAAAGUCAAUAUUAAAGUUUUGUUCAUCAGUAAUGAAGUUUGAUUCAGUUUCAGACACCUACUUUGUUAAAAAACCUGCCCAAACCUAGUUUCUAUUUAUGUAGCAGAUCUGCUACAAUUCCGAAAAAAAAACCGGCGUAUCAGAUCUGCUACAAAAAAUAUCUUUGUUACCAUAGUAACGAGAUAAAAAAUAAACAUGAUUUUAAUUCACCAAGGUCAAGUUACUUAAAAUAGCAAGUGAUCAGAAUGUUUCACAAUUCACAACUACUGUCGCAAACGAGUUCACUUUCAUGGUGGUAGGUGGUCUACGAAUGUGCACAUAUCAAACUAUAUAUCAAAAUGUUUGUGACAGUCUUAAGUUUCCAAAACCAGUUGAUGCCAGAAUCCAAGUGGUGGGCAAAGUGCCCAAAUUCAAGAUGGCCGCCAAUAUGGCCGCCGAAAAUUAAAAAUCAUACUAUACAAAUUGACUUGACAAUAUAUUUCAAUUUUAUAGGCAUGGUCCUAAUUCUAUACAAGUUUCUGUUGCAAAAUAGUUAAAACAUAGCAUAUUUUAUCUUCAAGUAAUUGAAAUAUAUUCUUACAAAAUAUGGAGGAUAUUGCAUGCAAAACGAUAGGAAAAAAUUACUGUUUUAGAUACUUUCCUUUAAUAAUUCUAUCACUUUUAAUUGCUUGAUUAUAUUUUACAAGUUUUGUGCUUUAUUAUGUUCAGAAAUUUCAUAAACUAUAUCAUCAGUAUUUUACAUGACAGCUUUUAAGUAAUUUAUUAUCUAUUAAUCCAACAAUCAAGGGCUAAGUAAACAGCUAAUUGGGUGGGGUAAAUCUACGUACACUUACAUAAGAUUAUAGUGUAAUACUUUAAAAUUCAUAUUAAGUAAAUGUUUUGUUUUUUAAAUGUCCAAACAGUUUCUUUUGGACAGAACGAACACGUGAAAAAGAAUUAUUACAUGAUUAAAAUUUGGUAUAUACCGGCAUUAGUAAAACUAAGUUAAAUAAUGGGUGUAGUUAAUCUGCAAAUGAUGAAAAUGUAUAAAGUAGUUAAAACAGACUGAAAUGUUAAUUCGAAAAUGAAAACUAAUUUUGUAGCAAUCACAUAAGAUGCUGAUUUAUUUACUCAGGUCAUUUUCUUGUAAAAGAAAAUGUAAAAAUGAUUAAAAUACAACAUACGUAACAAUGUCUUCGACAGUUUGUUUACUUGUAAGCUUGUGAGAUAUUAUAACAUCAGUGAAAGAUAGAAUACUGCUCUGCAAUUACAUCUUUUUUUUAAAUAUAAAUAAAUAACCUUUAUGAUAUUAAUUCUAAAUUAAUAAUCAACCUACAUUGAACAAAUGUUGAUUGAUACAAACUGGCAUAAUAUGAUUUAAGUAAUCUAAGUCACUAGCAAACAAGAUGUGUGUUUUGUGUACAUUUUACACAUGUCAGUUUCUUAUCUCCUGCACCUCGGAAAAAACAAAAUUUUAAUUUCAUUUAUUUGUUAUUUAAGGAAACAUGUUUCUACAUACUAUACUGCUAUAAUUACCUCAUACUACAAAAUUAUUAGGUAAUUAUAGCAGUGCAAAGUGUAGAAAAUCCUUAGAUUGAAAAAAGGCUAUCGAGAACAUAUGUAGGAAGCUAUCUGGAAACUUUUUAAUGGGGUAUCUUUUUAUACGUAAGUAACUUAUAUCUAUAUUAAAAAGUUGCAACAUAUCCAGAACACGACAGCUCGCGUGACCACUAAGACUCUCCGUCACAAUCAUAUAACACCGAUUCCGAAGGAGUUCCAUUCGUUGCCAGUGAAAUACAGGCCCACUCUUUUAAGGCUAUACACAAUCAGUCCCAUGAUAUGAUAGAAGUGUAUAAACCGGUAAGAAACCUAAGAUCACAAGACACGCUGUCACUGUUUAUGCCAAAAACUAAAACCAUGAUGUAUGACAAUCGUACCUUUUCAUUCGCUACUCCAAAUCUUUGAAACUCCAAUCAAGUCAAGAUCAGGGGAGCUCACAUGCUAGCUGCUUUCAAAAGCUUGCUGAACACCAACUUCUUUGUACAACAUUUCGUUAACUGAAUGAUACAUUAUUUUUUUCUUUUCAUAAAACAGCGUAGAACAGUAUUUUGGCGAUAGGUGAUUUAAAUAUGUAUGUUUGUCUUGUUUUGUCUGUGUGUUUUACAUUCACGAUUGAAAAAUAAAUUAGUAAAAUGAGAA